GACCCAGUGGUGGAAUGGUUAACAUACCCGCUUGCUGUGGAAGAACUGCGUGGUUGUUUGUGUGGGAGAUCCCUGUUCGACUCAGGGCUGGAUCA